ACAGACAGGUAGAUGGACAGGUGAACAGACAGACAGGUAGAUGGACAGGUGAACAGACAGACAGGUAGAUGGGCAGAAGGACAAGCAGACAGAAAUGCAGAUGGACAGGUAGACAGGUUAGAACCGUUUCUGAAGAGAGAGACAUUGAGUCAACAGGUACGAGCAGACAGACAGGUGGGAGGCUGUCUGUGAGUCCUGACCUGGUGACUCAGACUGAGACACAAACUGAACUUGAUGAGUCGCGUUUUGAACAGCUGAUCGAUCAGCUGGUCAGAUUCUCCACAAGGAUCAAUAAACUGAUCAUGCUGAGAUCGUCCAAUCAAACGAGACCAGCACUCAUCACAGGUUUCAGGGCUCGCUCCUCACCUGAUGACCCAGAAGGGGGCCGGGCUCCAGCUCUCUGCCAGACGGUUGCCUCAGCUGCCAGUCGUCUGAUGUAGACCUCGUCAACGUCCAAUAAGAUGUUCUCUGGUUUGAUGUCAGUGUGGAUGAUCUUACACUUAGUGUGGAGGUAGUCCAGACCCUGUAAGACCUGCAACACACAGACGAGUCACUGUCGAGUCAACGAGUCACUGUCGAAUCAACGAGUCACUGUCGAGUCAACGAGACACUGACGAGUCACUGUCGAAUCAACGAGUCACUGACGAGUCAACGAGUCACUGUCGAGUCAACGAGACACUGUCGAGUCAACGAGUCACUGUCGAAUCAACGACGAGUCAACGACGAGUCAACGAGACACUGUCGAAUCAACGAGUCACUGACGAGUCAACGAGACACUGACGAGUCAACGAGACACUGACGAGUCACUGUCGAAUCAACUAGUCACUGACGAGUCAACGAGUCACUGUCGAGUCAACGAGUCACUGACGAGUCACUGUCGAAUCAACGAGUCACUGUCAAAUCAACGAGUCACUGUCGAGUCAACGAGUCACUGUCGAGUCAACGAGACACUGUCGAGUCAACGAGACACUGACGAGUCACUGUCGAAUCAACAAGUCACUGUCGAAUCAACGAGUCACUGUCAAAUCAACGAGUCACUGUCGAGUCAACGAGACACUGUCGAGUCAACGAGACACUGACGAGUCACUGUCGAAUCAACAAGUCACUGUCGAAUCAACGAGUCACUGUCGAGUCAACGAGUCACUGUCGAGUCAACGAGACACUGACGAGUCAACGAGACACUGACGAGUCACUGUCGAAUCAACGAGUCACUGACGAGUCAACGAGUCACUGUCGAGUGAACGAGUCACUGUCGAGUGAACGAGUCACUGUCGAGUGAAGGAGUCACUGUCGAGUGAAGGAGUCACUGUCGAGUGAACGAGUCACUGUUGAGUGAAGGAGUGUACCUGUUUGAUGAUGCUCUUCACACAGACCAGAGGCAGCCCCAUGUAGUUCGACUUGAUGAUCCACUUUAACAACUGAUGACCCAAAACCUCCAACACCAUACACACAUCUGAUUAUAGUUAAGGUCAGACAGACAGGUAGAGAGAUGGAGGCUGAGAGACAGACAGGCAGAGAGACAGACAGUUUAUCAGGAUACGGACUCCAUUCACUCCAGAGAUCUUGAAGUCGUCGAUCAGCUGGACGAUAGUUUCUCUGAAGGGGUCAGACGGGUCACUGUCUCUCACCUGCAGACAGACAGACAGGUUGCUCGGGUCACAUGACCUCCGCAGGCACAGAACAGUAACACGGUGGCGUGCAGGAGACUCACAC